UACGAAGGGGGCUAGCGUUGCUCGGAAUCACUGGGCGUAAAGGGUGCGUAGGUGGAUCUUUAAGUCAGGGGUGAAAUCCUGGAGCUCAACUCCAGAACUGCCUUUGAUACUGAGGAUCUUGAGUCCGGGAGAGGUGAGUGGAACUGCGAGUGUAGAGGUGAAAUUCGUAGAUAUUCGCAAGAACACCAGUGGCGAAGGCGGCUCACUGGCCCGAUACUGACACUGAGGCACGAAAGCGUGGGGAGCAAAC
rnacentral:rRNA from 1 species